rnacentral:rRNA from 1 species
AUUGAACGCUGGCGGCAGGCCUAACACAUGCAAGUCGAGCGGUUGACGGGAGCUUGCCCCCUGAUUCAGCGGCGGACGGGUGAGUAAUGCCUAGGAAUCUGCCUAUUAGUGGGGGACAACGUUUCGAAAGGAACGCUAAUACCGCAUACGUCCUACGAGAGAAAGCAGGGGACCUUCGGGCCUUGCGCUAAUAGAUGAGCCUAGGUCGGAUUAGCUUGUUGGUGAGGUAAUGGCUCACCAAGGCGACGAUCCGUAACUGGUCUGAGAGGAUGAUCAGUCACACUGGAACUGAGACACGGUCCAGACUCCUACGGGAGGCAGCAGUGGGGAAUAUUGGACAAUGGGCGACAGCCUGAUCCAGCCAUGCCGCGUGUGUGAAGAAGGUCUUCGGAUUGUAAAGCACUUUAAGUUGGGAGGAAGGGUUGUAGAUUAAUACUCUGCAAUUUUGACGUUACCGACAGAAUAAGCACCGGCUAACUCUGUGCCAGCCGCCGCCGUAA